CGAGCCAGUUCCUUCCCCAAAAAUAAAUAUUACACUGGAAAAUGUCAACACUGACCGGUGCAAUAUCACGCUAUAUUGUUUUGUGAUGUCAAGCGCGUCAAUGCUGAGCUUUGUAUGGAAAUACGGGAACCAGGAGCAAGAGAGCUAUGGAAAUGGAUUCAGAAUUGAGCUGUCACUGACCCCUAAAGACUCGAGCAUGGAGUUCCAUUGUCUGGUUCGAAACCCUGUUUCCCAAAACAUGGCAUCUGUACUCCCACCACAGAACUGCACAAUUAUAC